rnacentral:misc_RNA from 1 species
GAUGAAGAACGUAGUGAACUGCGAUAAGUAAUGUGAAUUGCAGAAUUCAGUGAAUCAUCGAGUCUUUGAACGCACAUUGCGCCCCCUGGCAUUCCGGGGGGCAUGCCUGUCCGAGCGUCAUUGCUGCCCUUCAAGCCCGGCUUGUGUGUUGGGUCGUCGUCCCCCCCGGGGGACGGGCCCGAAAGGCAGCGGCGGCACCGCGUCCGGUCCUCGAGCGUAUGGGGCUUUGUCACCCGCUCGAUUAGGGCCGGCCGGGCGCCAGCCGGCGUCUCCAACCUUCUAUUUUACCAGGUUGACCUCGGAUCAGGUAGGGAUACCCGCUGAACUUAAGCAUAUCAAUAGCGGAGGA